rnacentral:rRNA from 1 species
AUUGAACGCUGGCGGCCGGCCUAACACAUGCCAGUCGAACGAGUGGCGGACGGGUGAGUAAUGUCUGGGAAACUGCCUGAUGGAGGGGGAUAACUACUGGAAACGGUAGCUCAUACCGCAUACCAUCGGAUGUGCCCAGAUGGGAUUAGAUAGUAGGUGGGGUAAAGGCUCACCUAGGCGACGAUCCCUAGCUGGUCUGAGAGGAUGACCAGCCACACUGUAACUGAGACACGGUCCAGAAUCCUACGGUAGGCCACAGUGGGGAAUAUUGCACAGUGGGCGCAAGCCUGAUGCAGCCAUGCCGCGUGUAUGAAGAAGGCCUUCUGGUUGUAAAGUACUUUCAGCGGGGAGGCGUUACCCGCAGAAGAAGCACCGGCUAACUCCGUGCCAGCAGCCGCGGUAAGAC